GCUGGGCUUGGUGGUGCACACCUGUAAUCCCAGUGCCUUGGGAGCCUGAGGCAGGAGGAUCAUGAGUUCAAACCAGCCUCAGCAAAAAGCGAGGUGCUAAACAACUCAGUGAGACCCUGUCUCUA
rnacentral:sRNA from 1 species